GGUGGUUCUCAGGUGAAGCACCCCGGAAUCUAGCUCCCUCCUCUCUGGUUCUGAGUAUAUCACCCGGGAACCGCA
rfam:Myotis brandtii contig178815, whole genome shotgun sequence.